UCACAAAUCACCUGAUAUUUAAAUGUGUCUUUUAAUAAAAUUGCCACACCGCCAUGAUCAUUGGGUCCAUUUUGAAGAACAAUAUUGUAUUCAGGUAUAUUGAAGGGACUGUUUUCUCUCAGCCAUGUUUCAUUUAAAAAUUCAAUAAUCAGGACAGUCCCGGGAGACGGCUAGAUGUCCCCCAACACAGUUAAUGCUUACUAAAAUGUCAGACACACACUCUUUGUAAUGGUGAACUCCUGCAUUAUAUAAACACAUUUGCUUACUGUGACAUACUUUAUCGAAAUGAUUAAAUUUGAAACAUUUGAACCACUGUAUUAGAGGUGAAAUAUAUGUCUGUACUUCGCAGCUAAACAAGUUGAGAUACAAAUAAGGGGGUAAUGUAGUUGUAGAAAAAGUUAUAGCGACAGAGCUCAUAGGUAUUAACUUCUUGUCUGCAUUUCUUUUCAUAAACUUCUUAACAGAUAUUAUUUCAGCAUCGCUACUAAUAUUUUUAUAGAUGUCUUCGUUGGAUAAGUCUGUAGGCACAAAUUUAAUCACACCCACCUCAAGGGCGGAUCCAGCUUUGACGCCAGGAGGGGGUCACAUAGUCAAAUUUUCGAUGCGCUCGUUCCCAAACGCUUGCCAUCAUACAAAGUUAUUAUUUUAUAUUAAAUUAAUUAAAUAUUGAAAGUAUGUAGUUACAUAAAAUCUGUAUAGUGACAAAAUAUAUAAAUAAAAUCAUUAUGUUCAAUUAGUGGUUCACCUAAGUCCUGGAACCAGCUCAGGGGGGGGUCAUGACCUCAUGACCCCCCCCUGGAUCCGCCGUUGACCCACCUUCUCUACUAAGUGGGCAGGUAUAAAGGCGCGAAAUUUGUGCUUGCUGAGAAAGUUGUCAAGUUUGUUAAAGCUAUUAGCAUCUGCAGCUUUUUGGAAAUUCACACCAAUUUUAUAUGCAUUAAUACGUGAAACACAUGUAAUGCUUUUGACAUUUUCAUUUAAUAAACCUGUUAAUUUUA